ACUCUGAUGCCUUCUGAAGCAAAUGGCUUGCUCAACUCCUUGCUGGAUAUAGUUUCCAGCCUCAGCGCCUUGCUUGCCAAAGCCCAGCACGUCUUUGAGUAUCUUCCUGAGUUUCUUCACACAUUUAAAAUCACUGCCUUGCUAGAAACGCUGGACUUUCAACAGGUUUCACAAAAUGUCCAGGCCAGAAGUUCAGCUUUUGGUUCUUUCCAGUUUGUGAUGAAGAUGGUUUGCAAGGACCAAGCAUCAUUCCUUAGCGAUUCCAAUAUGUUUAUUAAUUUGCCCAGAGUUAAGGAACUCUUGGAAGAUGACAAAGAAAAAUUCAACAUUCCUGAAGAUUCAACACCGUUUUGCUUGAAGCUUUAUCAGGAAAUUCUACAAUUGCCAAAUGGUGCUUUGGUGUGGACCUUCCUAAAACCCAUAUUGCAUGGAAAAAUACUAUACACACCAAACACUCCAGAAAUUAACAAGGUCAUUCAAAAGGCUAAUUACACCUUUUAUAUUGUGGACAAACUAAAAACUUUAUCAGAAACACUGCUGGAAAUGUCCAGCCUUUUCCAGAGAAGUGGAAGUGGCCAGAUGUUCAACCAGCUACAGGAGGCCCUGAGAAACAAAUUUGUAAGAAACUUUGUAGAAAACCAGUUGCACAUUGAUGUAGACAAACUUACUGAAAAACUCCAGACAUAUGGAGGGCUGCUGGAUGAGAUGUUUAACCAUGCAGGCGCUGGACGCUUCCGUUUCUUGGGCAGCAUCUUGGUCAAUCUCUCUUCCUGCGUGGCACUGAACCGUUUCCAGGCUGUGCAGUCUGUCGACAUCCUGGAGACUAAAGCACAUGAACUCUUGCAGCAGAACAGCUUCUUGGCCAGUAUCAUUUUCAACAAUUCCUUAUUCGACAAGAACUUCAGAUCAGAGUCUGUCAAACUGCCACCCCAUGUCUCAUACACAAUCCGGACCAAUGUGUUAUACAGCGUGCGAACAGAUGUGGUAAAAAACCCUUCUUGGAAGUUCCACCCUCAGAAUCUACCAGCUGAUGGGUUCAAAUAUAACUACGUCUUUGCCCCACUGCAAGACAUGAUCGAAAGAGCCAUCAUUUUGGUGCAGACUGGGCAGGAAGCCCUGGAACCAGCAGCACAGACUCAGGCGGCCCCUUACCCCUGCCAUACCAGCGACCUAUUCCUGAACAACGUUGGUUUCUUUUUUCCACUGAUAAUGAUGCUGACGUGGAUGGUGUCUGUGGCCAGCAUGGUCAGGAAGUUGGUGUAUGAGCAGGAGAUACAGAUAGAAGAGUACAUGCGGAUGAUGGGAGUGCAUCCAAUGAUCCAUUUCCUGGCCUGGUUCCUGGAGAACAUGGCUGUGUUGACCAUAAGCAGUGCUACUCUGGCCAUCGUUCUGAAAACAAGUGGCAUCUUUGCGCACAGCAAUACCUUUAUUGUUUUCCUCUUUCUCUUGGAUUUUGGGAUGUCAGUCGUCAUGCUGAGCUACCUCUUGAGUGCAUUUUUCAGCCAAGCUAAUACGGCGGCCCUUUGUACCAGCCUGGUGUACAUGAUCAGCUUUCUGCCCUACAUAGUUCUAUUGGUUCUACAUAACCAAUUAAGUUUUGUUAAUCAGACAUUUCUGUGCCUUCUUUCGACAACCGCCUUUGGACAAGGGGUAUUUUUUAUUACAUUCCUGGAAGGACAAGAGACAGGGAUUCAGUGGAAUAAUAUGUACCAGGCUCUGGAACAAGGGGGCAUGACAUUUGGCUGGGUUUGCUGGAUGAUUCUUUUUGAUUCAAGCCUUUAUUUUUUGUGUGGAUGGUACUUGAGCAACUUGAUUCCUGGAACAUUUGGUUUACGGAAACCAUGGUAUUUCCCCUUUACUGCCUCAUAUUGGAAGAGUGUGGGUUUCUUGGUGGAGAAAAGGCAAUACUCUCUAAGUUCUAGUCUGUUCUUCAAUGAGAACUUUGACACUAAAGGGUCAUCACUGCAAAACAGGGAAGGAGAGCUUGAAGGAAGUGCUUCGGGAGUCACCCUGGUGUCUGUGACCAAGGAAUAUGAGGGCCACAAGGCUGUGGUCCAAGACCUCAGCCUGACCUUCUACAGAGACCAAAUCACCGCCCUGCUGGGGACAAACGGUGCCGGGAAAACCACUAUCAUAUCCAUGUUGACGGGGCUCCACCCUCCCACUUCUGGAACCAUCAUCAUCAAUGGCAAGAACCUACAGACAGACCUGUCGAGGGUCAGAAUGGAGCUUGGUGUGUGUCCGCAGCAGGACGUCCUGUUGGACAACCUCACCGUCCGGGAACAUUUGCUGCUCUUUGCUUCCAUAAAGGCGCCUCAGUGGACCAAGAAGGAGCUGCAUCAGCAAGUCAAUCAAACUCUUCAGGAUGUGGACUUAAUUCAGCAUCAGCACAAACAGACCCGAGCUCUGUCUGGGGGCCUGAAGAGGAAGCUCUCCCUUGGCAUUGCUUUCAUGGGCAUGUCGAGGACCGUGGUUCUGGAUGAGCCCACCAGUGGGGUGGACCCUUGCUCCCGGCAUAGCCUGUGGGACAUUCUGCUCAAGUACCGAGAAGGUAGGCACUGGGCCUCGUUCUGCCUUCUCUUCCCACAAUGUUGUGUUGCAGGAAAUGCAUUGCUACUGUACAGUAGAAUCAAGUUGUAUCCCAAUGAGGCUACAUUAUCCUUUUCAGAAAAAUAUAAAUUUUUAAAAGCACUUAUAGGGAUAUAUUCGUUAGAUAACAUCUCUAUAGUGCUUAGAAUUGCUUACUUUGUGUUUGACCUUUUAACUCAAUAACCCCAAUGACAUCUAUGUACAUUAUACAUUAUCAUACAUGAUUUCAAGGAAAAUUGUCUUCUUCUGGAAGCAUAGUUUCUUAGAAGAGGCAUCCCAGAUCAUAGGACAAGCCUCCCUUGUCUCAGAUGAAGAAAUGAAGGCUCAGAGAGACGGGCAUGUGAUUUACUUGUAGCUACAGAGAAAGUUUCCUGAACUGAGGGUGGAUGUUGAACCUCUUGUCCAUAUUUCUCACAUCUAUUAUUGUUUCUUUCCAAUUUAGGACAUUUGAUGGGCAGUUACUAAUUUCCAACUUCUGAUUCUUUCUGCAAUCCUGACAGCUAGGAAGCAUUGUUCUAUGUAUUUUCUAUGAGAAUACUCCCUUUUGGAAAGAAACAUAGCAACAGUAAAACACAUCUUGGUGCUGGUAAAUAAGUGUAGAGGCAUCAGUGGCAGGAUUAAUACAGAUUCUCAUAAAAUGUUAUUUUGCUUUUUCUUUUGCCUUUUGAGUAUAAAAUUUUCUUCUGACUUAACCUAAAGUCUCCAUUUCCCUGGAGGUGAACUAGGAUUUGCAAAUGAAGAAAUAAAGG
rnacentral:sRNA from 1 species